GAGACCCGUGCCCACUGUUACCAGCAUGUCCUCCGGGACGAUGGGUACUCUGUGGGGACCGCCGGUGUUAAAUCGGAGGAAGGUGCGGGCCACGGUAGGUCAGUAUGCCCCGAAUCUCCCGGGCUACACGCGGGCUACAAUGGAUGGGACAAUGGGUCCCUUCCCCGAAAGGGGUUGGUAAUCUCACAAACCCAUUCGUAGUUCGGAUCGAGGGCUGUAACUCGCCCUCGUGAAGCUGGAAUCCGUAGUAAUCGCGUUUCAAUAUAGCGCGGUGAAUAC
rnacentral:rRNA from 1 species